rnacentral:rRNA from 1 species
UACAGAGGGUGCGAGCGUUGUCCGGAAUCACUGGGCGUAAAGGGCGCGUAGGCGGUUUUGUAAGUCGGGGGUGAAAUGCUGCGGCUCAACCGCAGCGCUGCCUUCGAGACUGCAAGACUGGAGCACGGUAGAGGCGGAUGGAAUUCCCGGUGUAGCGGUGGAAUGCGUAGAUAUCAAGAGGAACACCUGCGGCGAAGGCGGGUUGCUGGGCCGACACUGACGCUGAGGCGCGAAAGCUAGGGGAGCGAACGGG